rnacentral:rRNA from 1 species
UGGGGAAUAUUGGACAAUGGGCGAAAGCCUGAUCCAGCCAUGCCGCGUGUGUGAAGAAGGUCUUCGGAUUGUAAAGCACUUUAAGUUGGGAGGAAGGGCAUUAACCUAAUACGUUAGUGUAUUGACGUUACCGACAGAAUAAGCACCGGCUAACUCUGUGCCAGCAGCCGCGGUAAUACAGAGGGUGCAAGCGUUAAUCGGAAUUACUGGGCGUAAAGCGCGCGUAGGUGGUCUGUUAAGUUGGAUGUGAAAUCCCCGGGCUCAACCUGGGAACUGCAUUCAAAACUGACUGACUAGAGUAUGGUAGAGGGUGGUGGAAUUUCCUGUGUAGCGGUGAAAUGCGUAGAUAUAGGAAGGAACACCAGUGGCGAAGGCGACCACCUGGACUAAUACUGACACUGAGGUGCGAAAGCGUGGGGAGCAAACA